rnacentral:tRNA from 1 species
AGCGUUCGCCUCCGGAGCGAAAGGCCGUGGGUUCGAAUCCCAUUGAGCCCACCAUGUUGAGAAGUCUGGAAUACCG